AGCAGAGUGAUGCCGUGGAAGCAUGUUGCGCCCAUAACCCAGAGGACCGCGGAUCGAAACCACGCUCUGCUA